GGGUGUUUGAGGUUGGGUGUUUGGGGUUGGGUGUUUGGGGUUGAGGUGUUUGAGGUUGGGUGUUUGGGGUUGGGUGUUUGAGGUUGGGUGUUUGGGGUUGGGUGUUUGGGGUUGGGUGUUUGGGGUUGGGUGUUUGGGGUUGGGUGCUUGGGGUUGGGUGUUUGGGGUCAGGGUGUUUGGGGUUGGGUGUUUGGGGUUGGGUGUUUGGGGUUGAGGUGUUUGGGGUUGGGUGUUUGGGGUCAGGGU